rnacentral:rRNA from 1 species
GCAAGUCGAGCGGGAUCCUUAGCAUUGAUCCUUCGGGUGUUUUGCUUUGAUGAGAGCGGCGAACGGGUGAGUAACACGUGAGCAACCUACCCUAAAGUUCGGGAUAGCCCGCCGAAAGGCGGAUUAAUACCGUAUGUGGUCCUUUAACGCAUGUUAGAGGUACUAAAGCUUGUAAUGGCGCUUUUGGAGGGGCUCGCGGCCUAUCAGCUUGUUGGUGAGGUAAUGGCUCACCAAGGCACAGACGGGUAGCUGGUCUGAGAGGAUGAUC